CACGUAGGGUGCGAGCGUUGUCCGGAAUUAUUGGGCGUAAAGAGCUCGUAGGCGGUGUGUCGCGUCCGGCCGUGAAAACCUGCAGCUUAACUGUGGGCUUGCGGUCGAUACGGGCAUCACUGGAGUUCGGCAGGGGAGACUGGAAUUCCUGGUGAUAGCGGUGAAAUGCGCAGAUAUCAGGAGGAACACCGGUGGCGAAGGCGGGUCUCUGGGCCGAUAACUGACGCUGGAGGAGCGAAAGCCGUGGGGAGCGAACAGG
rnacentral:rRNA from 1 species